AGCAGCCGCGGUAAUUCCAGCUCCAAUAGCGUAUACUAAAGUUGUUGCAGUUAAAAAGCUCGUGGUUGAAUUUCGGGGUUAGUAGGUUGGUCAUGCCUCUGGUAUGUACUGGUCUCACUGAUUCCUCCUUCCUGAUGAACCUUAAUGCCAUUAAUUUGGUGUUUUGGGGAAUUUGGACUGUUACUUUGAAAAAUUAGAGUGUUUAAAGCAAGCUAACGCUUGAAUACAUUAGCAUGGAAUAAUGAAAUAGGACGUUCGAUCCUAUUUUGUUGGUUUCUAGGAUUGACGUAAUGAUUAAUAGGGAUAGUUGGGGCAUUAGUAUUCAAUUGUCAGAGGUGAAAUUCUGGAUUUAUUGAAGACUAACUACUGCGAAAGCAUUUUGCCAAGGAUGUUUUCAUUAAUCAAGAACGAAAGUUAGGGGAUCGAAGACGAUC
rnacentral:rRNA from 1 species